CUUGCCAUACCUGUUCAGCAGUUUCAAAUGGAGGCUGAGACACAAUUCUGUUAUUUGUAGUUUGACUGCUUAUGUGGACAUACAGCUAAGGACUUCGUAGGAGUUAGCCUUCUGCUCCAACAAACAGAAAUUUAAAAGGCGAUACUUGCUCUCAUAGAAUGCACCCGCGGAGGUGGGCCACGAUGGCCCUGUUAUUUGCUGUGUCACUGGCAAAUACUACUGAUUUCUCAAGCACAGCUACUACCUCAAAUGAUUCAACUUCAUCAACAUUUACAUCAAAUGGGACCUCUGUAUCCAGUACAAUUCUACCAUUAUCAGAGACCUCAACUAACAC